UGAGGAAUAUUGGGCAAUGCCCGGAAGGGUGACCCAGCAACGCCGCGUGGAGGAUGAAGGUCGUAAGAUUGUAAACUCCUGUUAGAGGGGACGAACAGUUCCGAUAGCCUCGGAAUUUGACGGUACCCUCAGAGAAAGCCCCGGCUAACUACGUGCCAGCAGCCGCGGUAAUACGUAGGGGGCAAGCGUUGUCCGGAUUUACUGGGUGUAAAGGGCGCGUAGGCGGAUUGGCAAGUCAGAGGUGAAAUCCUGCGGCUUAACUGCAGAACUGCCUUUGAUACUGCUGAUCUUGAGUGCGGAAGAGAGAGAUGGAAUUCCAGGUGUAGUGGUGAAAUACGUAGAUAUCUGGAAGAACACCAGUUGCGAAGGCGAUCUCUUGGUCCGUAACUGACGCUGAGGCGCGAAAGCGUGGGUAGCAAACAGG
rnacentral:rRNA from 2 species